UACGAAGGGGGCUAGCGUUGCUCGGAAUCACUGGGCGUAAAGCGCACGUAGGCGGAUUGCUAAGUCAGGGGUGAAAUCCUGGAGCUCAACUCCAGAACUGCCCUUGAUACUGGCGGUCUCGAGUCCGGGAGAGGUGAGUGGAACUGCGAGUGUAGAGGUGAAAUUCGUAGAUAUUCGCAAGAACACCAGUGGCGAAGGCGGCUCGCCGGCCCGGUACUGACGCUGAGGUGCGAAAGCGUGGGGAGCAAACAGG
rnacentral:rRNA from 1 species